rnacentral:sRNA from 1 species
AACCUGAUCACCGCCACCACUGCUGCCUUCAGAACUAAUACCACAUCUGGCCAGCAGCACCACCCUGUCAUCCGCAGUCUGUCUGCCACCUGAUCAUUGUAACUACAAAGGAGGAAUAGUUGAUGCUCUGACCCCUUCACCUCUAGUUCUGACGCUCAACUAACAAAGUAUCCAAAGUGCGUCUUCUCCAAUGUCUGAAGAAAAAUGCUGGCCACAUACCGUUCACCUAGAUUGGAGUCUUAGGAGGAAGGCAACUCAAGGAAUCUGAAUCUCAUCACCCUUGGAUGAUUCAGUCUGGUGCUCAUAACUUCGGAGCAAAAGAAAACAUGAAUGCCAAAACACUGAGGUCCAAGGUAACAUUUUUCGCCCUCUGCGGGACAGUGCUCAAGUAAGAAGUAGACAUCUAGACAUCUGGGGCUUGAAGAGAAGAAAGAACCCGA